CUCGCCUUCACCAGUCCAACAUAUUCAAAUAGGUCAAAGGCGCCUCAAACCUGAAGGAAAGCGUCACGGAAAUAUCAAUCAAAACUGCAAGAAAAUGCGUUCAGAGGUGUUCAUUGUCGUUCUUGAGCCGUGUUCUAGAGAUGUUUGUUAUCAAGUUAUUGCGUCAGUCAUCGUCAUGCUUCAACCUUUGGCUCGCCGAUUUGGAAAUGUUACGUUCAUCAGCAUCAAGAUCCAAAUUCCCUCACACGAAGUACAAUGGCACUCCCUUCAACAAGUCGAACUUUGUUUUGUCACUAGCGUCUCCCUUCGAGAAAACACAUACACGCGAGAAUAGAAGCAUCAAUAAAUGGGGAUCGAUGAACUCACCAGAUUAGUUCGAUAGUUAACAGGACCAUGGAUGAUGGUAUUGUUCUUGCGGGAAGUGGUUAUAGGGUUUGUACUGCUUGUUAUGCUCAUGAUCUAACCUGCAGGAUGAUUGUUGUUGAGGCAAGAUGAAUGCUUGGCUUGGUGUAAUGGUUGCUGCCAGCUUCAUGUGGUCUGUAGAAAGACUCCAAUAGUGAUGGCAAAUGGAUGAGUGGGACUUGAAUAUGGAAAUUGAUACUUGUAAUCAAAUUAGAUCUUGUGUAUUUAGAACUUGUACAACUUGUUUUAUUGAAGUGUAAUAGAUAUUAACAACUAUGUAUACAAAAUGAUCUUUGAUAACA